AUUUAAUGCUUCUUAUCUCUCUUCCAGAUUGUAGAUCUCAACCUAUAAAAAGGCCAGCCUUCAACCCUUUAGCAUCAUCCUCACAAUUCUUAAUAUUUAUAGAAUUUUAUUUUCCAGUAUAAGUAUAAUGGCUAAUCCGUCAAUGGUUCUCUCUGAUUUGCAGGCUUGCCGCUGUUCUUCAACCGUCAAGGUCUCUGAUUUUUGGAAAUGAGCGGAGCUGACGGUGUGGACAUGCUCCUGCUAAGUUGGUUGUUCAGUCAUGGAGAGUUAAUAGCAACUGUUUAUGAAAUUAAAAUGCCAAAAAAGGAUGAAAAAAGUGUAGAAACGGCAGUAUGUGAGUCAUUCUUUUCAUAGCAACGUCGCACUCUUGCCAAAGUCAUCUUCUCUCUUGACAAGCAUUGUCGGCAAUUGAGUGGCUAGGAGAUAGAAGAAGUGAUGGUAUGAAGAGCUACUUGAGUCCGUGUUCAGGGGAAACUCACCCGCUUAUAUUCAGGUCUCCAGUGAAGGGUAUGGAGGGCAUCUUGACCAACCAACUCAUGUGAGAACACGGACCUAGAUCAGAGGGUUCUUCUAACUCUUAACGCCUCAGCUUCCAAAUCUUUUUCGGUCUCACUCGCUCUUCUUCUUCUCCUACGAUUAGCUGUGCUUCCGUUUCAACUUCCCUCUUGAGAUUCUCUCCAUAUGUAUUCUGAUUGAGUUUUCCAAUCUUCACAGCAUUUGUUUUAACUGCGUAUGUGAAAUUCGUGCAGUUUUAAAGUCAAUGAAAAGAUCAUCCUGAUGCUCUGUUA